GGGGCCUUGGCGCAAUUGGUAGCGCACCUCGUUUGCAACGAGGGGGUUAGGGGUUCGAGUCCCCUAGGCUCCA
rnacentral:tRNA from 2 species